rnacentral:lncRNA from 1 species
UGAGAAGGGAGAAGCUCCUGAGAUUGAAGCAGAUUGAAAUAUGUUAUAUUUAGAGGAGAUGAUCAAUCUAGAGGAACUGAAACACUCUUUUAUGGAAGAAAAAAUCAAGGGGGCAAGCUAUAGCUUAGCCAAGGAUAAAGCUCUAGGCCCAGUUGGUUUUCUGGCUUCUUUUUAUCAGAGAUAGUGGGAAAUGAUCAAGCCAG